rnacentral:rRNA from 1 species
CGUAGGUGGCAAGCGUUGUCCGGAUUUAUUGGGUUUAAAGGGUGCGUAGGCGGUUUUUUAAGUCAGUGGUGAAAUACUUCAGCUCAACUGGAGAGGUGCCAUUGAUACUGGGAAACUUGAGUACUGAUGAGGUAGGCGGAAUGGACGGUGUAGCGGUGAAAUGCUUAGAUAUCGUCCAGAACACCGAUAGCGAAGGCAGCUUACUAAGGAGUAACUGACGCUGAGGCACGAAAGUGUGGGGAUCAAACAGGAUUAGAUACCCUGGUAGUCCACACUGUAAACGAUGAUCACUCGAUGUUGGCGAUACACAGCCAGCGUCUUAGCAAAAGCGAUAAGUGAUCCACCUGGGGAGUACGCCGGCAACGGUG